rnacentral:lncRNA from 1 species
UUUUAGUUAGAAAUUACAAGUUUAUUUUUAUAUUUUGAAAAAGGCAUAAUAGAAAACAAAAAUAAACAACCAGGCAUAUCAAUAUUUGUGACAUACACAUACACACAAAAAUGAAUAUAGGAAAUAACACGAAGAAAAAGCAUAGUAUGUUUUGAAACCAACGUGGGGUAUGAACAGAUUUUUGAUGAAAUACAACUAAAGGUUUUAAGUGUCUAUGUAAUGUUCGAGAUAUUACGAUCACUCUUAUCCUACUAGCAAAAAUUAGCAAACUAGGCUUUAAAACAUGAUUCCUGUUGUUUUAGCAGGAUUUAUUUUGGUAAUGAUCCUGCUUCCUUAUAAACAACUACUUAUCAUUGUUGAAGUCUUCUUGUGUUAAGGAGUACAAUGAGGCCAGGCGUGGUGGCGCGUGCCUAUAGUCCCAGCUACUUGGGAGGCUGAGGUGGGAGGAUCACUUGAGCCUGAGAGGUCAAGGCUGCAGUGAGGUCAAGAUUGGGCCACACCACACUCUCAGCAACCUGGGUGACAGAGUGAGAUCCUGUCUUUAAAAAAAAAAAAAAAAAAA